GACACCAGAGCCUGGGCCCUGUCUCCACCAUGCAGCCCUGGGGUGGGGGCACAUGUUUGGUGAUUGCCAGGGUCAUGAUGCAGUGAGCCGAGAUUGCGCCACUGGACUCCAGCCUGGGUGACAGAGUGAGACUCCAUCUCAAAAAAAAAAAAAAACGAAAAGAAGGACUGGCACAUUCUCAUAUAUAACGUGAAAUGGAAAAAAUCAAGAAUGCCAAACUGUAUGUAGGGUAAGGUACGAAUUAUGUUAAACCUGUGCAUAUAUGUAGGAAAGAAAAUGGAAGGAAAUAACCAAUAUGGAAAUGGGAGUUAGAAAAUACUAUUUUGCAUUUUCUAAAUGUUCUAUAAUGAACGUAUUACUCUUAAAAUUAGGGAACAGAUUUUAGGGAAAGGACCACCUGCCACUGUGGAAAUAAAACACACAUCUUGACAACAGAUGAGAGUUCAGGGGUAGCUCAUUCUCAAAGCCGAGGCCCCUGGGAGAGACAUAGGCUUCCCUGGCUUUUCCCGUCCUGCUGGGUUCCCUCCCGGGGUGGUGCUCCAGAGCCACAGGUGCUGCUGCAGAGUGGGAGAUCCCCUGUAGAGACUGGGCUGGAAGAGCUCAGUUACAGGCUUGCUCUCACCUUACUCAGGCAAGUAACCCUGGUAAGCACUUCACAUGCUCCCCCAGUGCUCCUGGGGCACCCUGGCUAGAGCUGGAGCCAGGCCUGCUUCCUCCUGUAACUCGAGGCGAGGAUCCCAGCCUUUCUCACUCCACUCCAGGCUUCUCCAUCCCCAGAGACAUGGGCUCCUUUCCAUUUGGCCCUAAGCGAGGCCAAUGAUGUGAACCUCCCUCUUCCCGCCUUCUCCCACCCACACACCUGCCUCUCCUCCCAGGUCUUCUUGGAACCACAGUGAGCCCACCACAUAACAUAAAAUAGGCAGAUUUAUGGGCAAUACUCCAGAGCUGUGAAAAUAGAAUCUGUGAGGGCGGGGGCUGGUAGUGUGGAUUUUAGCAGGCCUCCCAGAUGAUUCUGCCAUGCCUUGACCUUAUGUAUUUUAUUGUUAUAAUUUAUAUAUAUAAAAUUUACCCUUUUUAGUAUAUAGUUGAGUUCUGACAAACAUGUUUUUAUAACCAA
rnacentral:lncRNA from 1 species